CCGGCGACCGGCGGACGGGUGCGUAACGCGUGUGUAACCUACCUUUGACAGGGGGAUAACAUCGAGAAAUUGGUACUAAUACCCCAUAACAUCACCGGAGGCAUCUUCGGUGGUUGAAAACUCAGGUGGUCAGAGAUGGACAUGCGUUGUAUUAGCUAGUUGGUGAGGUAACGGCUCACCAAGGCGACGAUACAUAGGGGGACUGAGAGGUCAACCCCCCACAUUGGUACUGAGACACGGACCAAACUCCUACGGAAGGCAGCAG
rnacentral:rRNA from 1 species